rnacentral:rRNA from 1 species
CAUAUCAAUAAGCGGAGGAAAAGAAACCAACCGGGAUUGCCCUAGUAACGGCGAGUGAAGCGGCAGCAGCUCAAAUUUGAAAUCUGGAGCCUUUGGCUUCCGAGUUGUAAUUUGCAGAGGGAGCCUCGGAGGGCGAGACGGUCCAAGUGCCUUGGAACAGGAUACCGCAGAGGGUGAGAGUCCCGUAUCCGGCCGAUCUUGCGCUCCGUGUGAGGCCCCUUCGACGAGUCGAGUUGUUUGGGAAUGCAGCUCCAAGCGGGUGGUAAAUUCCAUCUAAAGCUAAAUACUGGCCAGAGACCGAUAGCGAACAAGUAGAGUGAUCGAAAGAUGAAAAGCACUUUGAAAAGAGAGUCAAACAGUACGUGAAAUUGUUGAAAGGGAAGCGCAUGGGGGCAGACUUGGACGCGGGGUUCAGCGUUUCUAUUGGAGCGUGUACUUCCCCGCGUGCAGGCCAGCAUCGGUUCCGGGGGCCGGACAAAGAGGUUGGGAAUGUGGCUCCCCUCGGGGAGUGUUAUAGCCCGGCGUGCAAUGCGGCCACCUGGGACCGAGGACCGCGCCUUGUGCAAGGAUGCUGGCGUAAUGGCCUCAUGCGGCCCGUCUUGAAACACGGACCAAGGAGUCUAACAUCUAUGCGAGUGUUUGGGUGGCAAGCCCGGACGCGCAAUGAAAGUGAACGGAGGUGGGAGUCUGUUACAGGACGCACCAUCGACCGAUCCGGACGUCUUCUGAAGGAUUUGAGUAAGAGCAUAGCUGUUGGGACCCGAAAGAUGGUGAACUAUGCGUGAAUAGGGUGAAGCCAGAGGAAACUCUGGUGGAGGCUCGCAGCGGUUCUGACGUGCAAAUCGAUCGUCAAAUUUGCGUAUAGGGGCGAAAGACUAAUCGAACCAUCUAGUAGCUGGUUCCUGC